UUGCAAUGAUGACUUUCUUAGGACACCUUUGAACUAAUCGUGAAAAUACUUUGUUUUCUGAGCUUC